rnacentral:rRNA from 1 species
UGGGGGAAUUUUGGACAAUGGGCGAAAGACUGAUCCAGCAAUGCCGCGUGUGUGAAGAAGGCCUUCGGGUUGUAAAGCACUUUUGUCCGGAAAGAAAUCCUCUGGGUUAAUACCUCGGGGGGAUGACGGUACCGGAAGAAUAAGCACCGGCUAACUACGUGCCAGCAGCCGCGGUAAUACGUAGGGUGCAAGCGUUAAUCGGAAUUACUGGGCGUAAAGCGUGCGCAGGCGGUUUUGUAAGACGGAUGUGAAAUCCCCGGGCUUAACCUGGGAACUGCAUUCGUGACUGCAAGGCUAGAGUAUGGCAGAGGGGGGUAGAAUUCCACGUGUAGCAGUGAAAUGCGUAGAGAUGUGGAGGAAUACCGAUGGCGAAGGCAGCCCCCUGGGCCAAUACUGACGCUCAUGCACGAAAGCGUGGGGAGCAAACAGGAUUAGAUACCCUGGUAGUCCACGCCCUAAACGAUGUCAACUAGUUGUUGGGGAUUCAUUUCCUUAGUAACGUAGCUAACGCGUGAAGUUGACCGCCUGGGGAGUACGGUCG